rnacentral:rRNA from 1 species
UUUCUACGGAAUAACGCAGGGAAACUUGUGCUAAUACCGUAUGUGUCCUUCGGGAGAAAGAUUUAUCGGGAAAGGAUGAGCCCGCGUUGGAUUAGCUAGUUGGUGGGGUAAAGGCCUACCAAGGCGACGAUCCAUAGCUGGUCUGAGAGGAUGAUCAGCCACAUUGGGACUGAGACACGGCCCAAACUCCUACGGGAGGCAGCAGUGGGGAAUAUUGGACAAUGGGCGCAAGCCUGAUCCAGCCAUGCCGCGUGAGUGAUGAAGGCCCUAGGGUUGUAAAGCUCUUUCACCGGAGAAGAUAAUGACGGUAUCCGGAGAAGAAGCCCCGGCUAACUUCGUGCCAGCAGCCGCGGUAAUACGAAGGGGGCUAGCGUUGUUCGGAUUUACUGGGCGUAAAGCGCACGUAGGCGGAUCGAUCAGUCAGGGGUGAAAUCCCAGGGCUCAACCCUGGAACUGCCUUUGAUACUGUCGAUCUGGAGUAUGGAAGAGGUAAGUGGAAUUCCGAGUGUAGAGGUGAAAUUCGUAGAUAUUCGGAGGAACACCAGUGGCGAAGGCGGCUUACUGGUCCAUUACUGACGCUGAGGUGCGAAAGCGUGGGGAGCAAACAGGA